rnacentral:rRNA from 1 species
UACGUAGGGUGCGAGCGUUGUCCGGAAUUAUUGGGCGUAAAGAGCUCGUAGGCGGUGUGUCACGUCGGCCGUGAAAACCUGGGGCUUAACUCUGGGCGUGCGGUCGAUACGGGCAUCACUAGAGUUCGGCAGGGGAGACUGGAAUUCCUGGUGUAGCGGUGAAAUGCGCAGAUAUCAGGAGGAACACCAGUGGCGAAGGCGGCAUCCUGGCCCUGACCUGACGCUGAGGCGCGAGAGCGUGGGGAGCAAACGGG